GUGGAUGAGCUUCUGUGUUAAAUACGUAUUUGUCAAGAUUAAUUAAGUCUAUGUCAUCUGAAAACAGUAGAAACAUGUAUUUGAGUGUUUCCCCAAGAAAGAAGCUCUCCAUCUUAUCUCGUGGCUCUGGGUUACUGGGGUUCUGAACGUUGUUAAUAGAAGUAUAACCACCUGUUGGAACCCGUGUGUAUUUAUUGAAGUUCUGCAAGAUUUCCCAGCCCCAGUCUUGGUAUUUCUUAUCUCCGGUGAAUCUGUACAUAUAAAAAAGGCUUUCCACAGUUUCUGGUCGCAGUAAGUUGUGCCUGUCUGCAGGCUUGAUUUCUACAUCUUUGUGGCCCUUUUGUGCAUGGAGAUUGAAGUGCACAAUCUCUGGACUCAGGCCUGUCUCUACUUGUGCAUACAUCUGGUAACAUGUUUCUAUCAGGGCUUCGGCCAGCUUCAUAUGAUCAGCAGUCAAUCCAUUGUGAGCUCCCAGAGCCAAAGUCCCAGGCAGAAAACAAACCAAGUGAUCCAUCUUGGCACUGAAAUGGCCAUGAGCAAGCUCUCCUACAAAGGUAAGCUUCUUGGGUUGUGAUCUCUGAAGAAGAUGCUUUUUCACGCCUUCUAUGGCUUUCAUAUAGUCCUCCAACAGUUCAUUUUCUGUUUUCCCACCCUGAAUCCACUGCUUGAGUAAAUACUCAUAGUAGCUGUCAGCUCUGGCUCCCAGAGUAUAAACACCUAAGUGAGUGAACUGCCCACUGUUGGUGUUUAUGAACAUAGGCACCAGUCCAUCAUUUUUCCCUGAAAGGGUGUGAACAUGUUUCAUCACCUCAUCAACAGCUUUCUGGUAUUUUUCAUCCCCAGUGAGACGAGAGAGCUCUCUGAACUCCAGCUGUAUACUGGUCACCUCUGCCACAGUGCUGUCAGACGUCCAGCGGGGUGGGUGUGCGGUGCCCCGGCCAAUGUUGACGUCAGAGUACGGAAUUUUGGAAGGAGUCUUGAAUGCUGGCAUGAGCCUGUUCCCAAUGUCUUUAGCUUUUUCCAGGAAGAGGCUAUCUCCAGAGAGAUGGUAGGUGCUCAGUAAGCCACCCAGAAUACGAAUAGUGCUCUCAAACAGGUUCACAUCCACAUUUUUAUCAAAGGCUAAAUCGUUUGCUACCCAUUUUCUUGCUUCUUCAAACUCUUCUCUCAGGCCUAAAAUCCACAUAGUAUCCAAGGCAUCAAUCAAGGUAAGCCCGAGGCCAAACCACUCACUGUAAGACUUGGAUAAUGGCUUCAGUUCAUCAUGGCCCCAGGCAAAAUCUUUGUAUCCUUUCCACGCGUGGCGGAAG
rnacentral:lncRNA from 1 species